CCGUAGCCUGGUAGCGGGGGAUAACUAUUGGAAACGAUAGCUAAUACCGCAUAACAGUAGAUAUCGCAUGAUAGCUGCUUGAAAGGUGCAAAUGCACCACUACCAGAUGGACCUGCGUUGUAUUAGCUAGUUGGUGAGGUAACGGCUCACCAAGGCAACGAUACAUAGCCGACCUGAGAGGGUGAUCGGCCACACUGGGACUGAGACACGGCCCAG
rnacentral:rRNA from 1 species